rnacentral:tRNA from 1 species
GUUAAGAUGGCAGAGCCCGGAAAAUGCAGAAGACCUAAGCCCUUUUUACAGGGGUUCAACUCCCCUUCUUAACU